rnacentral:tRNA from 1 species
ACACUUGUGCCCGUGUUUUUCUAGCACUGUCAUAAGAAUACUUUUACCUAUCAAGGCAACUGGGGGUUAGGAGAGCUUUUUGCACAGGAGGCUACUUGGCUUUGUUUGAAAACUGAUGAUACAUGAGGAUUGGGGUGGUGAAUCACUCACAUGUUUCUUCAUAUGAAAAAUGAGGACUGUGGGAUUCUCUGGCUGGAUCUCAGCACCUAGAAAUGGAUCUGGGCAAUAGGAACUGCUCAGUAUUAGCUACCGCUUUGGUUGCCUUCUCCUUGCGGAAAGCUGGCCUCUCACACUGAAUUUGUAUCAUAGGCACUCAUGAGGGUCUUGACUGUAUCAAUAUCUGAUGAGAGAUUUUAGUGCAGUUCUGUUAUCGUGGCUGAUUUGCUCAUUUGGUAGCUAGCAUCCAGCUUCUUGUGAACAUUAAAAUAAAAUAAAAUAGAUUAUGGAGGAAUAGAAUACAGAUACGUAGUAAGGUAUUAUUUUCCAGACAAAAUGGAUUUGGAUAAAAGAAUCUAAUUAAGAACUUGUGCAUGAUUCUUUUAAAAUUCUUUUGAAUCCAUUUUUUUUUUUUUGGCCUGUUUUCAAGUCUCCGAUUUUUGUCACCCUUCUCACACCAGGUCAGAGAGAUAGCUAAUGGUCAGAAGGAAUCUUCCAGCAAUGACCAUAGCGCUUUCUCCUGCCUGCAGAUGCCUCUUUUUAUUCAGCCUUUAUGGGAAGUAGCAGCACCAUCCAGUUCUCAGAGAGCAAGCUCUGGAGUAACUGAGCUAACCCCAGUUACCCCAGUGGAUUUACAGAUUGAGGUUACAACCCAGCAGGGUUCUCUUCCUGGAAAGAAUAGCCUUCCCUCUAAGGUUUCAAAUAGACCCUGGGUGAGGAAGGAGCCCUAAACAGCUUGAAAAAUUGAAUGCUCUUUGGGCAAAGCAGGAAGCCGUCCUAUGGAAGAGCAUCAUUUGAGCAUAAAUCAGGUUAUCAGGACAAACAGAGUGUUCAGGAGGUCAAGAUGGUUAAGCAGAGACCCUGACCAGAAUGUCCGUGGCGGAGAGAAACAAUCUUGUUGGGAAAAGGAUGACAAUAAUUGGGGACUUAGAAUAAAGGCUAAAAAUGAUUCAAAGAGAAUGCAAAAAGAAUCAGGCACAAAUCGUUUACUAUACUCUGUUAUGCAAAUCUCACCUUACUAUGUGUUUGUAUUCUAUUCCUCCACAAUCUUUAUUUUAUUUUAAUGUUCAAAGAGACUUGUAGGUGCCAAUUAAAUGAACAAAACAGCCAGAGACAACAGAACUGCCCUAAAAAAAGUCCCGCAUCAGCUCUUGAGAGCAGGUUCCUUAAAGGUGAACAAUAUUCCACAUACAAGGACUUUUUCAGCACCAUGCAUUAGAAAUGGAAGUGAAUGUUUAUUAUUUUUUGUAUAAGUUGGUUGAUAUGGCUUUUCAGCUUCCCUCAGUAUCAUUAUCCAAAUUUUGUAGAUGACACUAAAGCUCAGAGGAGUUAAACCAUUUUCCUUAAAUCACAUAGCUUUAAAUAGGAAAACCAGAUAUGAAAAGCAGAUUUUUUUUCUAAAUUAAAAAACCAAAAACAAAAACACGUGAGCUCUUGCUUUACCCUAGCACAUAGUCUUGCCAUCUGUUUUCUCCACACCAGGUGAUUCCUGUAACAUUCAUUCACAUAACAAAUACAAAUAAAUGAGUGGAUUCAUUCAUCAGAUAUUAAUUCAGAAUCCCUUUUGUGCCUUCCAGAAAUCUGGACCAUCUCACAACCCCCAGAGAGUCUCAGCUACAAGGAACAAGUGAUAAUGCCAUCCCACUUUUAUAAACACACACACACACACAUGCAAUACACACACAAUCAUUUAAUCAUUUUUAAUUAUUUAAUUAUUUUUUAAAAAUCAGUGACACUUUAGCUGGGCAGGUCUAGAUAGGUCUUCUUUGCUGGGACGUGUCUUUUUCUGUCCUGGAAUACCCUAAACUUCACAUUUUGGCAGCGUGAGUUUUCCCUUUGUGACUUUCUCCUUCUUCCCUUUUUUCCUCCUUCUUUGCAGAGAAUGAGUAGCCACUGCACCUUGCCCUGCGCCAUCAAUGAGAAGAUCUGCUCUUAGUAGAGCCCUGCUUUCCCGCUGAAGGCCCUGAAAUCACCUGUGUUCCAGGCCACCCACUAAGGAUAAACAAAGCUUCCCUGAUAUGGGGAAUUAGCUCAAGUGGUAGAGCGCUUGCUUAGCAUGCAAGAGGUAGUGGGAUCAAUGCCCACAUUCUCCAAGCUUUAUUAUUUAGGUACCCAAACCCGAGUCAGUGUCUGAGAGCAAGACACUGCUCUCGGUGUCUUUGGUUCAAGACAUAGGAGCAGCAACAAUACAGGACUGGUGACAGCUUCCUGCUGGCAUUCAGUAUAGUGUAGAUCUACUGUGUAAUUAAUUUUCUGUUUCUUCGAGGAGCUGUGAAACCAAAGGACAUAUAAAACUGCUCUUUUCUCCCUGUUUCUGCCUGCAGCUUGGUCCUAAAUGUGAGACAAUUGUGAAAAGUGGAGGACAGAGCCACCUGGUUAAAUACAGCCCCAGCUUUCUGGUGAGAGGACUGAAACCAAGAUGUGUCAAGUAACUAGAAUGUGCCUGGACAGAUACUGUAGAAAGCAAAACCAUAAAGUUGUUCAUGAGCUUGUGGACGCACCUGCCAGCUGUGAAUAAGUGGCUCUAAUCCCGAACAACUUACCUAAAAAGAGCCUGAGAGCUGAACUGUGCAAUGGCCCACUUUCCAGUCCUCACUGACCACUGGGUUGCACACACUUUGGAGAUCUCUGAACAGCAGUGUCAAGGCUUUCAAAUAGAGUUAUCUUUGAAACGACAACACAUGAAAGUCUGGUUGGUACUUGGAGCUUAAAUACAAGGCAAUUGUGUGCCUGCAAAAACAAAAAUAGCAAUAUUAUCCUUAAGAUUUCAACAAGACACAGUGUCUCAUCACAUAAUCCAAAGAAGUCCAGGUUACAAGCCCCACAAUAUUCAGCAUUAUGAAAAAACAGGGAGAUCUUAAUUCACAUGGCAAAGAGAAUCCUCGAAUAACAAUAUUGAGAGGACACAGAUGUCAAAAUCAUCUGACACAUACAUUAAAGCAGAUAUUAUAACAAUGCUCCUAGAAUCGGGGAUAACAUUCGUGAAGUGAAUGGAAAGUUGGAAAGUCUCACCAAAUAUUUCGAAUACAUAAACACCAAUUUAAACUUAAGAAUUAAAAAAAUGUAUUAACCAAAACUCUUAGGGGAAAUAAAAAGCUUAAUUGGAGGAUCUCCAUAAUCGAAUGCAGAAGACUAAGGAAAAAGUCAAUGAACUUGAAAACAGAACACGAAUACCUACAUAAUCUGAACUAUAGAGAGAAAGGAGGAUUUUAUUGUCUCUGAACAGAGGCUCAGGCACAAAUAAAAAAUAACAAAUCCAACAUUCACAUUAUUGUAAUCUGGAAAGAAGAGGACAAAGUGGUCUUUGUGGGAUAAAACUUUGAACAAUUAAUAGCUGAAAAUGGUUCAAAUUUGUCAAAAGAUAUAAACCAGAUUUUUAAAGUUCAGUAAAUGUCAAUCAGGAUAAACCCAAAGAAACCCAUAGCAAGGCAUAUCAUAAUCAAACUGCUGAAAACUAAGAAAAUACAAAACAAUUUUGAAAGCAGCCAAAGGGAAAUGAAAGAGAAACUACCAAAUGAAUGAUUGUAGAUUUCGCAUCAGGAACCAUAGGGGCCAGAAAAAAUGUCAUAACAUUCGGUAAGUAACAAAAGAAAAAGACAUAUCGACCCAGAAUGCUAUGUGGAGCAAAAGUAUCUUCCAGACAUAAAGGCAAAUAAAUGCAUUCUCAGUGGAAGGUAAGUAAAUACAUUCUCAUUCUUAGGAAGACUGCUGGAAAAGAAUUAGCAAAGAUUUGAGAUAAGAAAAAUGAUACCAGAAGGAAACUUAGAACAUCAUCAGUGAAGGAACAAAAGCAGAAAUAGAACAUGUCUGGGUAGACAUAACAGACUAUUAUUCUUCCCUUGAGUUCCUUAAGGUAUGUUUGAUGAUUGAAAGCAAAAAUUGUAACUUUAUCAGAAGCAGUUGUCAUUGUAUCUAGAUGUACUACAUACAGAAGAUAAAAGGGUAAGUGUAAUGGGACUAACUCUUGAUGAAGUUUCUUUAUUCAACUUGAAUGGUAAAAUAUUGAUUCUAAGUAUACUGUGAAAGGUUAUAUAUGUAUAUGGUAAACCCUAGACCACCUACUAACAAGAUUUAAAUAAACCAAAACAAGAUAGAAAGAGGAACAUAGAUGAAUUAAAACAAAGGGAAACAAGGUUAAUACAUUAUUAAAUAAUAGACCUAUCUAAAAACUUAUCUAUAAUGACAUUACAUGUAAAUAAUCUAAACGCAUUAAUUAAAAACUAGAGAUCAUCAGAAUGUGUUAAAAAUAAAUAUGCUGACUAAAGAAAGCCACCUGCUAUACACUUAUAUAUAAGAAUAAAAGUUAUAGAGCAGAUUGAAAGAAAAGAGUGGGAAAAGAUACCUCAUGCAAGCACUAAUCAAAGACAGCUGUGAUGUAUAUAUAAAAAAAUCAGACAAAGUACAUUUGAAAGCAGAGAAACUUUUCAGGAAUAAUGAGGCCUGCUAAAUAAUUAUGAUUGUCAAUUUUCCAGGGGAAUAUUGUCCCAAGUGUAUAUGAGAACAUAGAGCUUCAAAACUCAUAAACAAAAUUGGAUACGCAAGGUAAAAACAGAAAAAUCCAAUUAGAGUUGCCGACACUAACACUCCUCUCUCGGUAAUUGGUAGACUUAGUAGAAAACAAAUCAGCAAACAUAUUGGAGAAUUAAACCAUACCAUCCAGUAAUGGACCUAUUAACUUCAUAAUGCAAAAUAAAAAUUUAGGUAGAAGGCAAAGACAAAAGUUAAAAGAAAAGUAAAGAUCAUGUUAUAACCAGGAAAUUAAGAGUAGUCCAGCAUAUAGAAGAGUGCUAUUAUUGGAAGAGUUAUUUAGUUAUUUUGAGACAUUUUUUGAAAGAGUUAUUUAGCUGGAAAUGACAGAAAGACUGAAAAUGGUGAAUCUGGAGGUGGAUCUCCCCUUGUCCAUAUUUAUUUUGUCUUUUUUUGAGGUCUAGGGUGUCUAUACUUCCUCUGAAUUACCUACAGUGUCUGGCACAGAGCAUCUCCCCAGUGAAUAUGUAUUAAAUGAGUAGAAAGUAAUUUAUAGAUUCAAAAGAACUGGGCAAGAAUAAUGUUCAUUAUUUGACAAAUCCUUGAAUGUAGUGUUUGAAGGAAGACAAUAAGUCAAAGUUGACUUGAAAGGUAAGCCCAAGUCCAGACUCUUUUCUGUAAUCCCAGCACUUUGAGAGGCCGAGAUGGGCAGAUCCCGUGACACCAGGAGUUUGAGACCAGCCUGGACAACACAGUGAAACCCUGUCUCUACAAAAAAUACAAAAAUUAGCCAGGUGUGGUGGUAUGCAUCUGUAGUUCCAGCUACUCAGGAGGCUGAGGUGGGAGGAUCGCUUGAAUCUGGGAGGCGGAGGUUGCAGUGAACAGAGAUUGCACCGGUGCCUGGACAACAAAGAGACUACGGAAAAGAAGAGUGACUAAGAUCUCUGAAGAAGGGAAAAGCUAGAUGACUGGGCCACAAGAGGAAAAAAAGCAGCAAGACAGCUUGAAUGUGAGGCAACUGUGAAAAGUGCAGGGCAGAGCCACCUGGGUAAAUACAGCCCUGGCUUUCUGGUGAGAGGACUGAAACCAGGAUGUGUCAAGUAACUAGAAUGUGCCUGGACAGAUACUGUAGAAAGCAAACCCAUAAAGUUGUUCAUGAGCUUGUGGACGCACCUGCCAGCUGUGAAUAAGUGGGUCUAAUCCCAAACAACUUACCUAAAAAGAGCCUGAGGACUGAACUAAACAAUGGUCCACUUUCCAGUCCUCACUGACCACUGGUUGCACACACUCCAGAGAUCUCUCAUCCGCAGUGUCAAGGCUUUCAAAUAGAGUUAUCUGUGAAACAACAACACAUGGAAGUCUGGUUGGUACUUGGAGCUUAAAUACAAGGCAAUUGUGUGCCUGCAAAAACAAAAAGAGCAAUAUUAUCCUUAAGAUUUCAACAAGACACAGUGUCUCAUCACAUAAUCCAAAGAAGUCCAGGUUACAAGCCCCAAAAUAUUCAGCAUUAUGAAAAACCAGGGAGAUCUUAAUUCACAUGGCAAAGAGAAUCCUUGCAUAACAAUAUUGAGAGGACACAUAUGUCAAAAUCAUCUGACACAUACAUUAAAGCAGUUAUUAUAACAAUGCUCCUAGAAUUACGGGAUAGCAUUCAUGAAGUGAAUGGAAAGUUGGAAAGUCUCACCAAAUAUUUGGAAUAUGUAAACACCAAUUUAAACUUAAGAAUUAAAAAAAGUAUUAACCAAAACUAUUAGGGGAAAUAAAAAGCUUAAUUGGAUGAUCUCAAUAGCAGUAUGCAGAAGACUAAGGAAAAAGUCAAUGAACUUGAAAACGGAACAAGAAUACCUACAGAAUCUGACCUAUAGAAAGAAAGGAGGAUUUUAUUGUCCCUGAACAGAGGCUCAGGGACAAAUAAAAAAUAACAAAUCUAACAUUCACAUUAUUGUAAUCUGGAAACAUUCACAUUAUUGUAAGAGGACAAAGAGGUCUUUGUGGGAUAAAACUGUGAAGAAUUAAUGGCUGAAAAUGUAUCAAAUUUCUCAAAAGAUAUAAACCAGAUUUUUAAAGUUCAGUAAAUGUCAAGCAGGAUAAACCAAAAGAAACCCAUUGCAAGACAUAUCAUAAUCAAACUGCGGAAAAUUAAGAAAACACAAAACAAUUUUGAAAGCAGCCAAAGGGAAAUGAAAGAUAAAAUACCAAAUGAAUGAUUGUAGAUUUCUCAUCGGGAACCCAGGAGCCAGAAAAAAAUGUCAUAACAUUCAGUAAAUACCAAAGGAAAAAUACAUUAUCAACCCAGAAUGGUAUGUGGAGCAAAAGUAUCUUCCAGACAUAAAGGCAAAUAAAUGCAUUCUCAUUGGAAGGUAAAUAAAUACAUUCUCAGUCCUAGCAAAACUGCUGGAAAAGAAUUAGCAAAGGUUUGAGAUAAGAAAAGUGAUACCAGAAGGAAACUUAGAACAUCAUCAAUGAAGGAACAAAAGCAGAAAUAGAAAAUGUCUGGGUAGACAUAACAGACUAUUAUUCUUCUCUUGAGUUCCUUAAGACAAUGAGUAGCCACUGCUGUUUGCCCUGGCCCAUCAAUGAGAAGAUCUGCUCUUAGAGCCCUGCUUUCCUGCUGAAGGCCCUGAAAUCACCUGUGUUCCAGGCCACCUGCUAACAAUAAAUAAUGCUGCCCUGAUGUGGGGAAUUAGCUCAAGUGGUAGAGCGCUUGCUUAGCACGCAAGAGGUAGUGGGAUCGAUGCCCACAUUCUCCAAGCUUUAUUAUUUAGACAUCGUGUCUCCAAACACUCAGGUCUCCAAACCCAAGUUAGUGUCUGAGAACAGGAUGCUGCUUUGGUUCAAGACGUAGGAGCAGCAAUAAUAGAGGGCUGGUGAUGGCUCCCUCUUGGCAUUCAGUAUAGUGUAGAUCUACCAUGUAAUUAAUUCUCUGUUUCUUUGAGGAGCUGUGAAACCAAGGGACAUAUACAACUGCUCUUUUCUCCCUGUUUCUACCUGCAGCUUUGUCCUAAAUGUGAGACAAUUAUGAAAAGUGCAGCGCAGAGCCACUUGGGUAAAUACAGCCCCGGCUUUCUGCUCAGGGGACAGAGUUUGAGGCACUGCAGAGGAACCGGCCAAAGUAUGAGACCCAUAUAUUGAGAGUAACAGAGUGUAAAGUUCAAAAAAAUCAAAAUAUUUAAAGAUUUAUCAUGGGUCUUGAUGACAUGAUGGAAUCUCUCUACUCUCUGGACUUAUUAUGUGUGGUAAUAAAUUUACUUUUUAAAAGCCAGUUGAGUGUUUUUAAUGUUGUGGAGCUAUUGCUAAGAGUUUCCUGAGUUUUUUCCAGUAAUGUAGAGAUCUUUGUGCUAAAUAUUUCAUAAAGAAGUUUGG